rnacentral:rRNA from 1 species
AGUGAACGCUGGCGGUAGGCCUAACACAUGCAAGUCGAACGGCAGCACAGUAAGAGCUUGUUCUUACGGGUGGCGAGUGGCGGACGGGUGAGGAAUACAUCGGAAUCUACUUUUUCGUGGGGGAUAACGUAGGGAAACUUACGCUAAUACCGCAUACGACCUACGGGUGAAAGCAGGGGAUCUUCGGACCUUGCGCGAUUGAAUGAGCCGAUGUCGGAUUAGCUAGUUGGCGGGGUAAAGGCACACCAAGGCGACGAUCCGUAGCUGGUCUGAGAGGAUGAUCAGCCACACUGGAACUGAGACACGGUCCAGACUCCUACGGGAGGCAGCAGUGGGGAAUAUUGGACAAUGGGCGCAAGCCUGAUCCAGCCAUACCGCGUGGGUGAAGAAGGCCUUCGGGUUGUAAAGCCCUUUUGUUGGGAAAGAAAAGCAGCAGGUUAAUACCCCGCUGUUCUGACGGUACCCAAAGAAUAAGCACCGGCUAACUUCGUG